UACGUAGGUGGCGAGCGUUGUCCGGAAUUACUGGGUGUAAAGGGCGUGUAGGAGGGGAUGUAAGUCAGAUGUGAAAUUCUUGGGCUCAACUCAAGCGCUGCAUCUGAAACUAUAUCUCUUGAGUGCUGGAGAGGAAAGCGGAAUUCCUAGUGUAGCGGUGAAAUGCGUAGAUAUUAGGAGGAACACCAGUGGCGAAGGCGGCUUUCUGGACAGUAACUGACGCUGAGGCGCGAAAGCGUGGGGAGCAAACAGG
rnacentral:rRNA from 1 species